GCGCCAAAUCACAACAAAAGUUACCUCAAGGCGCUUCAUAGAUACAGAGAAAAACCCAACAAUCUUGUGACCCCCUAUGAGCAAGCACUUUGGCAACAGUGGGAAGGAAAAACUCCCUUUUAACAGGAAGAAACCUCCGACAGAACCACGCUCAGGUACGGGCAGCCAUCUGCUGCGACCGCUUGGCGUGAGCUAACAGAGGCUUUGACGAGAGAGACCUAAUAUUUAAUAAUCCAUAUUUCACUGUUUUAUUCUUCGGUUCAGAUGUGGAUUCUGUAUUGUUCUUGCUUUGUUACUAUUGAUGUUUUGUUUGUUUAGCAUAAUCUCUUUUGUUAUAUUUUAGCUUUAACAGGGAACAUGCCUCUCUGGAGCUUCUCUCCUGAUGCUACCCUGCCAAAGACCCUUAUCCAUAGAGACUAUGUCAGCUCCCAAACAGACAGCAACAAACCAAAUCUAGCAAUAAACAACUUAAACAUCAAUAAUAACAAAGCAAGAACAAUACAGAAUCCACAUCUGAACCGAAGAAUAAAACAGUGAAAUGUGGAUUAUUAAAUAUUAGGUCUCUCACCCCCGGAAGAUGAUUGAAUAAAGAAAGACAGGUACUUAUGUAUGUCAGCAUAAGGUGGAGUCCAACAGAAGCAAGGCACCCUACAUGCGCACAGCAUGCAGCAGGGGUUGCCAAAAUAAUAUAGAAAACAACACAUGCAGUGAGAGAACACCCACUAAAA
ensembl:lncRNA